CUCGACAGAUAGAGAAGGCUAAGAAUAAGGAGAAGGAUAGGGAAAAUAAAAGAGCUAAAAUAGGUAGCUUCAACUUUACUCAACCUGAGUCAGGUGGUGGGAAUUAUUCUCAGUUCUACCUAAAAUUUUAAGUUCUAGCUCCAUCCUCAGCCAGUGCUCCAGUACCAAAAUUCAGAGAUGGGAAUAAAGAUAGGGCAUCAGGCCCUAAAC
rnacentral:lncRNA from 1 species